rnacentral:rRNA from 1 species
GAUGACGCUGGCGGCGUGCCUAAUACAUGCAAGUCGAGCGAGUGGCGGACGGGUGAGUAAUGUCUGGGAAACUGCCCGAUGGAAGGGGAUAACCACUGGAAACGGUAGCUAAUACCGCCUACCAUCGGAUGUGCCCAGAUGGGAUUAGCUAGUAGGUGGGGUAACGACUCAACGAGGCGACGAUCCCUAGCUGGUCUGAGAGGAUGACCAGCCACACUGGAACUGAGACACGGUCCAGACUCCUACGGGAGGCAGCAGGGGGGAAUAUUGCACAAUGGGCGCAAGCCGGAUGCAGCCAUGCCGCGUGUAUGAAGAAGGCCUUCGGGUGGUAAAGUACUUUCAGCGGGGAGGCGUUACCCGCAGAAGAAGCACCGGCUAACUCCGUGCCAGCAGCCGCGGUAAUUC